rnacentral:lncRNA from 13 species
CGCACAGCCUAUGCCGACAUCAACAACACAACAUGACAUCAACAUGAAAGUAACCAGUGCAUAAAACAGCUGGCUGCGAGGCUUAUGAGGAAGUGUUCAAAUGCCCACAUCAAAGGAAUAGGCGCCUUGCCUGAACGACUGACUGGCUAAGCAAACUGUCUGGCACUGUCUCUGCUCUCUGAAAGAAAGGCGCGCAGGCAUGUCGCUUCUCUCAGAGCAAUGAUCUGCAUGGUCCUAAAGCCAGUUUUUCGUUUAUAAACGGUAGUGGCAUUUUAAUAGGGAUUGUAAUGAAAGUAAAUUAUUACUUUUUUUGUAGCCCACUUUUUCAUUUUUGGUAUUGAUCUAAGAUUGGCAUGCCCAGCUGACGCCCCUGCUUGCACUUAACUCUGUGUAGCUGGUUUCGGAUCUCCGCUCAUACCCAGUUGAAUGCCAAGGCGGGGAUAAUUUGCUCAUUGUGCCCGUCGCCGAUCCAAAUACACCUGUAGGAAUUACAGCUGGAUACCGGUACGCGCGCGGCUGCUGGUCGGAGCCAGGCGGCCAAAGCUCUGGAACAGGUCUGGCUGGAGUACUGACCAAUUACUUGAGUACUAAGCAACACCCAACAGGUAGGUGAGCCGAGGUUCACUGAUGAUGGAGUUACCGCAAAAGUCGCUCUGGAAGAUUCAACCGGGUGUAGUGAAAUUGAGUGAGCGAAGCGGUCCCGAAACCCCCAUGUUUAGCGAGAGCCUGAGCACCGGUGGCCCAGGUUUGGAAGGAGAUACCUCGGAUGAGAGGAGUCCUGGUCCGUUACUGGACAGAAAGACUGGGCCGAUUCGAAUUAAAGUGAAACACGGACGAGAGGAGAGGGACUUCCAGGGGAGAUAAUCCCAAACUAAUCAGCACUACUUUCGCCUUGGCCGGUUACUCCGCGCACAACCAUGCAAUGGUUUACUGUUCGGGACAAAACCGCAGCAUCAACAGAUCCUAUGAGAGGAUUAAUGAUAACGUGGGAUCUAAGACUGUGCUCAGUUAUGUCUGUCUAUCCAACAAGAGAAAGGAAGAAAACCGUUACAGAAUCACCCACCAAAACAGGACCAAGCAGUGUGGUGACAGGCAGCGGCAGGAGGAGCAGCGCAAUCAGGACUAUUGGACUUGGGAGGAGAUACUGGAUGGAGAUGGACCCUGGACGCAGCCGGGGGAAUAUCGCCACCCCAAGGCAGAGCUGGAGGCAGCCAAAGCGGAGAGGCGGCGGUUUGAAGAGGCAGCACGGCAGCAGAGAGUCAGCCCCAAAAAUGUAUUGGGGGGGGCACACAGGGAGUAUGCCGAAGCCAGGUAGGAGACCUGCGCUAACUUCCUGUGCUUACCGGAGAGCGAGAGGGAUCGGGCAGGCACCGUGUUAUGCUGUGGAGCGCACGGUGUCUCCAGUGCGGGUGCAUAGCCCGGUGCGGUACAUACCAGUUCCUCGUAUCGGCCAGGCUAGAGUGGGCAUCGAGCCAGGUAAGGUUGGGCAGGCUCAGUGCUCAAAAGCUCCAGUGCACCUGCACGGUCCGGUCUAUUCAGUGCCACCUACACG